rnacentral:lncRNA from 1 species
UGACUUUUCAAAAUGAUGGUCUUCAAAUCAGAAGCAUCAGAAAACAUAUUGAAUUUACCCCUCGAUAGUUGUAGUUGUAUAGAUCUGACAUCUCAUCUAGUAAAUAUAGUAAGUCAACAGCAACAAAGUACUGAUUCAAAACUGAUGUCAACAUCUAGAUGGAAAAAAAUGUUUCAUCAAACUUUCUUAGUUGUAAAUCAGCACAACUACAAAGAAAAAAGACAUUCUUGCAACUCUUCCAAAUCUGUUUGGGUUAAAGGAAUUUUGCAUUUAACUAUCAUUCCAUCUUCACUAACUAUCUAAAGGACAAAAUCAAAUAAAAAAAUACAAUAAACUCACAAGAUUUGUAGAGCGUCGCAGAACUUGAGCGAGUUGUGCAUGACUGCUUAUAAGAGCUUUUAUCUUCUUCAACAAUGCAGCCACAAAUAUUGACACUAUAGCACGAAAAAAUAGUGCAAACUGUCUUAAAGAAAGAUCUCAUCAGAAAAAUGAGAACCAAAUUUAAAAAGAAUAGCUGAAAAGUAGAUGAAACUUACGGAAAUAGCUGGGAAUAUAGACGAAAUCAGGUUCAGUAAUGUGGGAGGAGAUAGUGGUGGGAGUGACGUCUUUGGGAUCGGUGGCAAAAGGGAUGGUUGGGUUUGGGGACAAUUCCAGUUGUUGGGGAUGAUCGUAACAUGUAUACUCAAUAUACUCGAUAUGGUUAGUCAAUCGAUAAAGUGAAACAACCUUAUGGUGCUACUUCUAAUCCUACACAGGCUGAUGACGCGACAAGAAAGAACAGUUCAUCAUCAAACAAGUUGAAAACACCACAUUUCUCCAAUAUCACCACCUUAUAACAUAGAAACAAAUAUCAUAUCUCUCAAAUUUACCAGAUUCACUUACAACUAACAAAAAUCAAUUAAGAAGUUAAUCUAUCCAACCAAAAAAUCAAUUACUAGCAAGUUAUUCUCUAUGUAAACCUUAUUUAAUUAGAUUAUCCAUAUUGAAACCCUAAAGAAUCGAAGUUUAGGGGAAAUCCAAAAAGUACAAUAGUUAUAAACCUUAGAAAGAGCUGAAGCUUCUCCAUGGUGCAGGACGUAGGGCAACGAGCCUAUUGGAGCAUUCUUUUACUCCAAAAUCGGCGAAGAUAUUGCAGAUUUU